rnacentral:rRNA from 1 species
CAUACACGACCGUACCGCAAACCGACACUGGUGCGCGAGAUGAGUAUUCUAAGGCGCUUGAGAGAACUCAGGAGAAGGAACUCGGCAAAUUGACACCGAAACUUCGGAAGAAGGUGUGCCUUUAGUAGGUGAACCUGUACAAGGGGAGCCCAAUGAGGUUGCAAAAAAUCGGUGGCUGCGACUGUUUAAUAAAAACACAGCACUCUGCAAACACGAAAGUGGACGUAUAGGGUGUGACGCCUGCCCGGUGCCGGAAGAUUAAAUGAUGGGGUGCAAGCUCUUGAUUGAAGUCCCAGUAAACGGCGGCCGUAACGAUAACGGUCCUAAGGUAGCGAAAUUCCUUGUCGGGUAAGUUCCGACCUGCACGAAUGGCGUAACGAUGGCCACACUGUCUCCUCCUGAGACUCGGCGAAGUUGAAAUGUUUGUGAUGAUGCAAUCUCCCCGCGGAAAGACGGAAAGACCCCAUGAACCUUUACUGUAGCUUUGUAUUGGACUUUGAACAGAUCUGUGUAGGAUAGGUGGGAGGCUUUGAAGUGUGGUCGCUAGAUCGCAUGGAGCCAACGUUGAAAUACCACCCUGGUGUGUUUGAGGUUCUAACCUAGGCCCGUAAUCCGGGUCGGGGACAGUGCAUGGUAGGCAGUUUGACUGGCCGGUCUCCUCCCAAAGCGUAACGGAGGAGUUCGAAGGUACGCUAGGUACGGUCGGACAUCGUGCUAAUAGUGCAAUGGCAUAAGCGUGCUUAACUGCGAGACUGACAAGUCGAGCAGAUGCGAAAGCAGGACAUAGUGAUCCGGUGGUUCUGUAUGGAAGGGCCAUCGCUCAACGGAUAAAAGGUACUCUGGGGAUAACAGGCUGAUACCGCCCAAGAGUUCAUAUCGACGGCGGUGUUUGGCACCUCGAUGUCGGCUCAUCUCAUCCUGGGGCUGUAGCCGGUCCCAAGGGUAUGGCUGUUCGCCAUUUAAAGAGGUACGUGAGCUGGGUUUAAAACGUCGUGAGACAGUUUGGUCCCUAUCUUCCGUGGGCGCUGCAGAUUUGAGGAAGCCUGCUCCUAGUACGAGAGGACCGGAGUGGACACACCUCUGGUGUAUCGGUUGUCACGCCAGUGGCAUUGCCGAGUAGCUAUGUGUGGAAGAGAUAACCGCUGAAAGCAUCUAAGCGGGAAACUCGUUUCAAGAUGAGAUCUGCCGGGGCCUUGAGCCCCCUAAAGAGUCGUUCAAGACCAGGACGUUGAUAGGUCGGGUGUGGAAGCGCAGUAAUGCGUUAAGCUAACCGAUACUAAUUGCUCGUGCGGCUUGACCC